rnacentral:rRNA from 1 species
UGCGUAGGCGGCUUAUUAAGUCAGUGGUGAAAUCCUGCGGCUCAACCGUAGAACUGCCAUUGAAACUGAUAAGCUUGAAUAUAGUUGAGGUAGGCGGAAUGAGUAGUGUAGCGGUGAAAUGCUUAGAGAUUACUCAGAACACCGAUUGCGAAGGCAGCUUACUAAACUAUUAUUGACGCUGAGGCACGAAAGCGUGGGGAGCGAACAGGAUUAGAUACCCUGGUAGUCC